GGGUGUCUGAAUCAAAAACUUUGAUUAAAGCCAUCUGUGACUCUGAGGUCCAUUAUUUAAAAGUGGCCUCAUAUUUUCCUCUGUGGAAAUGAGCUUAGAGCAGAAUUUCUGAAUGUUCAAAUACCUUGAUCAUGGGUAUACACACUUUAUGGGAAUAGCUUGAAUUCUUGUAAGUAAAUCAUGAGUGAAUACAUGAAGAAAUAUAUAAAUGAGUAAAUAUAAAGAAACCUGGGUAUAGGCCAAUUAUGAGAGUAGGUAAUGAAACUGGGAUUAUUACACGUUUCUGAGGCAUUGAAUUCCAGUGAAAUCUAUUUGUAGGGGCUGUUGCCCCCUUUUUUGGAAGGAGUGGGUAGACAGAUGCAUGUAAGAUUCAGCAUCUUUGUUUGAUAUAGGUGGUUGCCUGCUGGUUGGUUGUUUGUAUUUAGAAAAGGAAAAAUUGCAUACAUAAAUAAUUCAUUAAAUGUUUAAUUGGAAAAAGAAUGAGCAUAGUUCAUAUUAGAAUGUGCCUUAUGAACAGUUAUUAUUAAUGUACCUCUGUUCAUUGAGUUUUAUUAAAAACAAGGAAAAAGAUCUCAUGUUUAAAGUUCUGUGGCUAAUGUAGUAGACAUGUGGAGACAAAACAAUGCUAUUCAAGUUUCCUGUCUAAUAUUAGUUAAUUUCCAGAUAUUGAUGAGUUGUUACAUUUGAGUGGAUUAAAUGCUAAUCACAGUUUUUAAAAGGGGGCAAAAUGUGGCCCAGUAAGAAGCAAAAAUAAUCCUUAUCUAUACUUCUGAUCCUCUCUUCCUAACUUGGUCAUGGGCAUGUAGUCCCUUGUACAUGAAGAGCAUUUGUAUUCUGGGUUGUUCAUGGAUUUACCAUUUUGUUUGUGUGUGUGUGUAUAGGUGUGUGUGUUAGUAUACUUGAAUGUAUGAUCAACUAUUCCACAAGGCAUUCCAUAAAUGAAUAAAUAAAACAAUGAACAGUUGAAUUAACAUAUGAGUAGGGUGAAAGCAUAGAUCUUGGUGACAAUAUGCCAUGAGUCACAAAUUUAAUGUCAUCUAUUUCUACACAAAUUGAGUUCUUCAAAAAAAAGAUUGUCUAGGCUCUUGCCUAUAUGGAUAAGGGGUGUGUAGACAGAUAUGUGCAAUAGUUUUUAUUUUUAUGUGAUGAACUCAACAGUGUUCAUUGUAUUAUUUAAAAUUUAUACUUAAAUCAGCAAAUUAAAAAGGAGUGAUGUUCUUGGAUCAGUGAUGACAGUGAGAAGUGAAUCAGCUUCCUGAGUAAUUUUGUACCACACAACUGUUGUCCUUUAAAUCAAUCUAAAUCUGGACUGUUCAUUCUUUCGAAUAUUGACACUUGACUCCAGAAUGGAGACCAUGGCUGAUUUAACCAGUCUCUACUGAUGAAGAUCUUGGCUGUUAUCUUUCUGGAAUGGAUGGACGAUGAAUCCAUUAUGGAGUACAGAAACAUAAUGGAUGUGCCAGGCCAGUUGAAGCAUCUCCAUGGUCAUGAGCUGUUUGUUGCCUAGGAGCAUAGAGACCAGUAAUGGAUGCAGUUAAGCUGAUUAUCUGUGGUUGCCUCCGUUGUCGGGAACACAGACACUAAUAGUGGGCACACCAAGGUGAUGAAAGCCAUCUGCCAUGGUUACAGGCUCUAUAUGUAGGAGAUGGAGACCAGUAGUGGAUGCCCUGGAGCUAAUUUAAGGAUUCUUCCAUGGUCACAAGGCGUCUGCUUGUCUCUGUGUGUUUGGUGUAUAGAAAUAAUGGACACAUCCAAGGUGGUUUAAAUAGUAUGCCUGUAGGAACAUGGAAACCAACAAUAGGUACAUGCGUGAAGUUGGGUUGAAGCAUCUUUCAUGGUCACGAGCUCUGUGGUUGCCUUGUCUAAUGAGCAUAGAAGCCAACCAUGGAUGCACUUGAACUCACCUAGGUGUUUGGCCGUGAUCGGAUGCUCCAUGGAUGCCCCUUGCGUGUAAGAGGAUGGAGACCAAUAAUGGAACCCCAGGCUGAUUUUAGCUUCUGCUCUGAUCAAGAUCGACAUGUUGCUUCAGUGUUGGAGAGAGACCAAGGAUGGACAUACUCAGGCUGAUCGAAGAAUUCUUCCAUGGUCACAGUCCCUGUGGUUGCACCUGUGUUCCAGGUGUGCAUAGCCCAACGGUUUUCAAAAUUAAUAUUAGUGAAUUCAGCCAUUAAUGAAAUGACAUCCAGAAAAUGAAGAGGAAGAGACUGAAAUAUGGACCAGUGAUGACGGCUGGUGGCGUAGGAGUCAUGGACGAUGAAUACUACGUGUCUGGAACUCUGAGGUCCAACAGGAAAGGAAAUAUGGUCUCUUACCUCCGCUUGAAAUUCUUCUAUGGACUGAUUUUAGGAAUAUAAAGGGACUGUUUUCUUAGAUUGUUUUCUUGAAUUUUGAUUGUUUUACUAUCAAUGGAUCAAUUCAAGAACCAAGGUACAAAUAUUAAUAAGUCAAAAUGAGGCGCGUGGAGCAUAUGCACUCAGU